UACGAAGGGGGCUAGCGUUGUUCGGAAUCACUGGGCGUAAAGCGCACGCAGGCGGAUCGUUAAGUCAGGGGUGAAAUGCCGAGGCUCAACCUCGGAACUGCCUUUGAUACUGGCGAUCUUAGAGUCCGGGAGAGGUGAGUGGAACUCCGAGUGUAGAGGUGAAAUUCGUAGAUAUUCGGAGGAACACCAGUGGCGAAGGCGGCUCACUGGCUCGAACCUGACGCUGAGGUGCGAAAGCGUGGGGAGCAAACAGG
rnacentral:rRNA from 1 species